GAUGAACGCUGGCGGCGUGCCUAAUACAUGCAAGUCGAGCGAACAGACGAGGAGCUUGCUCUUCUGGCGUUAGCGGCGGACGGGUGAGUAACACGUGGGUAACCUACCUAUAAGACUGGGAUAACUUCGGGAAACCGUAGCUAAUACCGGAUAAUAUAUUAAAUUGCAUGGUUCAAUAGUGAAAGAUGGUUUUGCUGUAACAUAUAGAUGGAUCCGGUCCGCAUUAGCUAGUUGUUAAGGUAACGGUUUACCAAGGCAACGAAGAGUAGCCGACCUGAGAGGGUGAUGGGCCACACUGGAACGGAGACCCGGUCCAGACUCUUCCGGGAGGAACAAGUAGGGAAUCUUCCGCAAUGGGCGAAAGCUUGCCGGAGCAACGCCGCGGGAGUGAUGAAGGUCUUCGGAUCGUAAAACCCUGUUAUUAGGGAAGAACAAUUGUGUAAGUAACUAUGCACGCCUUGACGGUACCUAAUCAGAAAGCCACGGCUAACUACGUG
rnacentral:rRNA from 1 species